rnacentral:rRNA from 1 species
GACGAACGCUGGCGGCGUGCUUAACACAUGCAAGUCGAACGAAGAGCGAUGGAAGCUUGCUUCUAUCAAUCUUAGUGGCGAACGGGUGAGUAACGCGUAAUCAACCUGCCCUUCAGAGGGGGACAACAGUUGGAAACGACUGCUAAUACCGCAUACGAUCUAAUCUCGGCAUCGAGGAUAGAUGAAAGGUGGCCUCUACAUGUAAGCUAUCACUGAAGGAGGGGAUUGCGUCUGAUUAGCUAGUUGGAGGGGUAACGGCCCACCAAGGCGAUGAUCAGUAGCCGGUCUGAGAGGAUGAACGGCCACAUUGGGACUGAGACACGGCCCAGACUCCUACGGGAGGCAGCAGUGGGGAAUCUUCCGCAAUGGACGAAAGUCUGACGGAGCAACGCCGCGUGAGUGAUGACGGCCUUCGGGUUGUAAAGCUCUGUUAAUCGGGACGAAAGGCCUUCUUGCGAACAGUUAGAAGGAUUGACGGUACCGGAAAAGAAAGCCACGGCUAACUACGUG